AGUGAACGCUGGCGGUAGGCCUAACACAUGCAAGUCGAACGGCAGCACAGUAAGGGCUUGCUCUUACGGGUGGCGAGUGGCGGACGGGUGAGGAAUACAUCGGAAUCUACUUUUUCGUGGGGGAUAACGUAGGGAAACUUACGCUAAUACCGCAUACGACCUACGGGUGAAAGCAGGGGAUCUUCGGACCUUGCGCGAUUGAAUGAGCCGAUGUCGGAUUAGCUAGUUGGCGGGGUAAAGGCCCACCAAGGCGACGAUCCGUAGCUGGUCUGAGAGGAUGGUCAGCCACACUGGAACUGAGACACGGUCCAGACUCCUACGGGAGGCAGCAGUGGGGAAUAUUGGACAAUGGGCGCAAGCCUGAUCCAGCCAUACCGCGUGGGUGAAGAAGGCCUUCGGGUUGUAAAGCCCUUUUGUUGGGAAAGAAAAGCAGCAGGUUAAUACCCCGCUGUUCUGACGGUACCCAAAGAAUAAGCACCGGCUAACUUCGUG
rnacentral:rRNA from 1 species